UACGGGGGGGGGCAAGCGUUGUUCGGAAUUACUGGGCGUAAAGGGCUCGUAGGCGGCCAACUAAGUCAGAUGUGAAAUCCCCAGGCUUAACCUGGGAACUGCAUCUGAUACUGGAUGGCUUGAAUCCGGGAGAGGGAUGCAGAAUUCCAGGUGUAGCGGUGAAAUGCGUAGAUAUCGGGAGGAACACCAGUGGCGAAGGCGGCGAUCUGGGAAGAUACUGACGCUGAGGUGCGAAAGCGUGGGGAGCAAACAGG
rnacentral:rRNA from 1 species